CUGCUUUGCUGACGAGUGGCGGACGGGUGAGUAAUGUCUGGGAAACUGCCUGAUGGAGGGGGAUAACUACUGGAAACGGUGGCUAAUACCGCAUAACGUCGCAAGACCAAAGAGGGGGACCUUCGGGCCUCUUGCCAUCAGAUGUGCCCAGAUGGGAUUAGCUUGUUGGUGAGGUAACGGCUCACCAAGGCGACGAUCCCUAGCUGGUCUGAGAGGAUGACCAGCCACACUGGAACUGAGACACGGUCCAGACUCCUACGGGAGGCAGCAGUGGGGAAUAUUGCACAAUGGGCGCAAGCCUGAUGCAGCCAUGCCGCGUGUAUGAAGAAGGCCUUCGGGUUGUAAAGUACUUUCAGCGGGGAGGAAGGUGUUGUGGUUAAUAACCGCAGCAAUUGACGUUACCCGCAGAAGAAGCACCGGCUAACUCCGUGCCAGCAGCCGCGGUAAUACGGAGGGUGCAAGCGUUAAUCGGAAUUACUGGGCGUAAAGCGCACGCAGGCGGUCUGUCAAGUCGGA
rnacentral:rRNA from 1 species